rnacentral:rRNA from 1 species
AACGAACGCUGGCGGCAUGCCUAACACAUGCAAGUCGAACGAGACCUUCGGGUCUAUUUGCGCACGGGUUCUUAACGCGUGGGAACCUGCCCUUAUGUUCGGUAUAACUCCCCGUAAGGUGUGCUAAUACCGGUUAAUGUCUUCGGACCAAAGAUUUAUCGCCUUUGGAUGGGCCCGCGUUGGAUUAGCUAGUUGGUAGUGUAAAAGCCUACCAAGGCGACGAUCCAUAGCUGGUCUGAGAGGAUGAUCAGCCACACUGGGACUGAGACACGGCCGAGAAUACUACGGGAGGCAGCAGUGGGGAAUAUUGGACAAUGGGCGAAAGCAUGAUAGAGCAAUGCCGCGUGAGUGAUGAAGGCAUUAGGGUUGUAAAGCUCUUUUACCCGGGAUGAUAAUGACAGUACCGGGAGAAUAAGCACCGGCUAACUCCGUG